AACGGGAGCUAAGCGAAUAUGAUUCUUCCCUUAGAGUCCAGAUUUCAAGCCUAUUGCAUUGCUAGAAAAUCCUUCUGAAUUUCAGUAGAUGCAUAAUAAAUGCAUAAUUAGCUCUUUUCUUCUCUUUAUAUUCCUGCUGAAACAAUCCUAACCUCCUCACAAGCAGCUUGAUGCCACAACCAAAAAAGGGGGAAGUCACUUCGUUUCUGAGGGCAGAGAUCAAAGGACAUCAGUAGUUUCUCCAUACAUUACCUGUUCCAGCUCCCAGCUUCCACCCGACUUACCUACUCCAAAGUCUAGUGAAUUUUUAUCUAGUUCUUUGAAUGUGUACAUGCAGAUGGUCUAAGGCAAUGGCAAUAGGGAUGAAAGAGAGGACAGUGGAGGUGUGGCCCAACCAAACUGCCCCUGAGCCGCCCAGCCUGCUGUCUACCUCGCUGUCUUCCUUGAGUCAUCACCCCAGUUCCCCAACCUCCAAAUGCAGGAAAAUGAAGCCAAGAUAUUUUUGAGUCGCAACCCUAUGCUCAACAAUAUGUUUUGUACUUUCCUGUAUGUGUCCUCAUUUUUUCCUCAGAGCAAUCCUCUGAGGUAAGGGCGCCUCAUGAGGGCACGCACUGACACCACACGGGGCGGAGCGGAGACACUAGAGGCGGCGGCAGCAGCUGCAACAUGUUUGGGACUCUGAAAUCUGAGAAGUAAAUUGUGACUAGUUUAGUUUAGCCGAUUGGGGAAAGCAGAGAAGCAAUCAGAUUUACAUCACAGAAGCUGCAAAAGGAAUCAGUGACACUAGUCACCUAUGGAGGUGAGUAUGGGGCUAAAAACAGAAUGUUUGGUUGAAAGUCCACUUAACCCGAUACCUCUCCUCUGAGAGCAAGUGUGUGACUUCCCUGCCUCGACCAGCACAGGUCUGAGAAUUUAUACCAUGAAAAGCACCAAUUAUAGAGUCUCUGGUCAGGGGGACCCCAGAAGUCAAGGGUGUCAUCCUGAAAUAGGAAGAUUAAGUGAAAGUUUAGUCUCCCACUGAAUGUCAAGACUCCCAGCCGGUCCUCCCCUGGAACCCUGGUUAAUCUU